rnacentral:rRNA from 1 species
GAUCCUGGCUCAGGAUGAACGCUAGCUACAGGCUUAACACAUGCAAGUCGAGGGGCAGCACAAGGCAGCAAUGCUGAGGUGGCGACCGGCGCACGGGUGCGUAACGCGUAUCCAACCUUCCCGUUACUCUUGGAUAGCCUUCCGAAAGGGGAGAUUAAUACAAGAUGGUGUUGAAAUUCCGCAUGUUAUUUCAACUAAAGAUUUAUCGGUAACGGAUGGGGAUGCGUGACAUUAGAUAGAUGGCGGGGUAACGGCCCACCAUGUCCACGAUGUCUAGGGGUUCUGAGAGGAAGGUCCCCCACACUGGAACUGAGACACGGUCCAGACUCCUACGGGAGGCAGCAGUGAGGAAUAUUGGUCAAUGGCCGGAAGGCUGAACCAGCCAAGUAGCGUGAAGGAUGAAGGUUCUAUGGAUUGUAAACUUCUUUUAUGAGGGAAUAAAACCUCCCACGUGUGGGAGCUUGUAUGUACCUUAUGAAUAAGCAUCGGCUAACUCCGUG